AUGGCGUCGCAGUUGGUUAAAAUCUUUGCUACUGGGGUUAUCUUUUCUGUUGCCUUUGGUUGCAGCCCGGUUCCAAAAAUAGACCAGGAGGAAUUCUGCUCUGCAACAUAUGUAUUUAAAGCCAGAGUAAAGUCAGCGGAUCCAUUUGUUGAAUACUUCACUGAAACUACAAUUACAAUCGACAUUCUAGAGGAUUACAAG